rnacentral:lncRNA from 1 species
GACCCACAUGAAGCUCGCCGACCGACGGAGGAGUCCGACGCCACUCUGCUGGCCACCGACCUGGGGUCGGCCGACUCCACCAACCACCAUACGGUCGCCAGACGUUGUCAGCCCUGACACGGACAUGCGGCACAAUUACCUAGGGGCAUUGUCCCGUCCGGGGCCGGGUCAACCCUGGCGAUUAGACGGCUACACGGCGACAUGACAUUUUCACGGCGGCUCUGACAGUCUACAGUGAGUUGACAGUUCCUCACUUGUCUGCGCCAUUAAUGAUGGCGCCAUACCGUGCUCCACUAUAUAUAUCGGGGAAGGCAAUAGUGCAAGGGGUCGAUCCGCCCGUCUCUCCCACAUAUGCAGGCUCGCUCCUCUCUUUCUCUCCCUCUCUCCUUCUCAGAGCUCUCUGUCUGCAUUUCACUGUUGUCC